rnacentral:rRNA from 1 species
CUGUUUACCAAAAACAUCGCCUCUUGCCCCACAAGUAUAAGAGGUCCCGCCUGCCCAGUGAUUAAUUUUAACGGCCGCGGUAUCAUGACCGUGCAAAGGUAGCGUAAUCACUUGUCUUUUAAAUAAAGACCUGUAUGAAAGGCAAAACGAAAGCUCAACUGUCUCUUUAAUCUAAUCAGUGAAAUUAAUCCCUCCGUGCAGAAGCGGAGAUAAUUAUAUAAGACGAGAAGACCCUAUGGAGCUUUAAAUAUAAAAUUAGUUAUACACUAAUACUAACCAACAGGUAAAAAAUAAAAACGUAUAGUUAUAGUUUAAAUUUUCGGUUGGGGCGACCACGGAAGAAAAAACACCCUCCGAGAUAGGUAAUUUAGAAUUACACUUCAAAAAUUAAAACAUUUAUUAUAAAUGAUCCACUAAGUGACCAACGAACCAAGUUACCCUAGGGAUAACAGCGCAAUCCUUUCUAAGAGUCCCUAUCGACGAGUGGGUUUACGACCUCGAUGUUGGAUCAGGACACCCAAAUGGUGCAGCCGCUAUUAAGGGUUCGUUUGUUCAACGAUUAAAGUCCUACGUGAUCUGAGUUCAGACCGG